GGGCGAUUAGCUCAGUCGGCUAGAGCACCUGCCUUACAAGCAGGGGGUCAGUGGUUCAAGUCCACUAUCGCCCA
rnacentral:tRNA from 1 species